CUUGACACAUUGUGCCCCAAUAUAAAGUGCCUCCACACCAAUAACUAAUAAUUACAAUAUCUCUUCUUCUUCAGGUAGGUGCUGUGACUGGAAUUCUCCCUGCCUGAUAGGCAUUGGGAUAGUUUUCUCUUCAAUGUGUGUAAUCAUUGGACUCACUAUCACUUUGCAUCACAGAAACAGAGGCUUUUUCCAAAUAUAAGGGAUUCAGCAGCAACAAACUUCUCAUCUGGAACUUUGGAUAGAGAGACUACAGUGGCACAAUAUUCUAAGAACUCAGAAGAAAAUAAUUGUAAACACACAAUUUUAUGAAUGGCCAUAAUUGCUAUGUGGAGG
rnacentral:lncRNA from 10 species